CCGGCGGGCCCUUCCAGGUGUCUGUUCAGGCUGGGAGGCUGUCGCCGACCCCAGAGGGAGGUAGCUUCUCAGCUUGCCGGGUUGGGCAAUCUGCGCGCUGCUCCCGAGCAGGUCCGGGCACCUUCCACUGACUGUUCAUUUUUAGAAUGAAAGUCAACCUCACUUCCCUCCUUGACAGGUGGCUAAGCUGGUAGACUAAUAGACACACUAAUAGAUUAGUGAACCCGCUAACAUUUACAAGGUGGAUGAGAAGAAAAUGGUGAUGUAGGCGGGAAACUGACAUCAGGGUCAUUUACUUAUUUUUAUUCACAAUUAUCUACCAUCUGCUCUGAGCUGCAGCCUGAAUGGUUAUUUGGCAAGUGUACUGCCCCAGGCACUAACAGGAGGGAGGUCUUUGGAGGCAGCCUUCAGGCUGCUUUUAAUUGUAAAAUACAAACAAAGAGGGAAGCAGUGAGUCCUCCUUCAAGAGGGGUCUCAUUCAUCAGACCACAGGCAGAGAUGUUACGGAGCUGAUCUAGAAGGGUGGGUGAUAGUAAGAGUCAAGUAACUCAGCCCCCAGCAAGCAUCGACAGGUGCUGUCUGGUUUCCUGUGUUGUACUAAGACCCUGAGUUCCCUUCAUUGCAAGUUUACGCUACACCCACAAGGAGGAAACUUUAUUUUUCAUGCUGGUAUUUGAAGAAGUGGGGGUUCUGAGGCUGAUGCAAUGUCACAUGUGACCCACAGGCAGCCUGAUGGAUGAUCAUCCAGCCUGGACUUCUCGACUAGAAGAUACAGUGUGUAAAUAACCCGAAAUACAAGGCUGAGUUUAGCAAUUAUGAGGCUGUAUUGAAAAUAAACACUCUGGCACUGACCUAUGCAGAUGAGAAAUCGUAUUGGAAACUUUGUCCUUAGAAUCUCGAAUGUCAGAGCUUCAAGGAAGGCGAGAGGUGACCUCAUCCACUUCCUUCCUCCUCAAUUUACAGAUGAGGAAACUGAGGCCCAGGGAGAGUCCCAAGUUCAUCCUGGGCCAUUCGUUAAUAUUCAGAUCCUCUGACGCCAAGAGAAACAGCUCCCUCCCCCCCCACUUCAUCAAACAGUCCUGCCCUUGCUCAAAACACAGGAGCUUAGCACCUCUCACAGAAUGGCCUUCAGAGCGGAGUCAGCAGGCACACAAGCAAACCAGUCUCUUCACUUUAUUGAUACAUUUUGAGGUUGAUUCAAAACAGCAUGACGGAGCUUCUUGCUUUAUGCUCCAGACUUGGCUCUGAAUGACUCACGUCUAGUUUGCAAGAAUUAAAUCAGCCCACAAAGAAUGCAUAUUGCCACCCCCAAGAUUUACAAAGAAAGAUCUUUUGUUCUGCAAUUGCUUUGAAAGUCAUUUCCAAAGAAAGGUUGCCAAAGAUAUGCUGAGCAAUGUCCGAGUCCCUGACAGAAGGGCAUACCUGCCUGGGGAAAUACCACAUGAGAGACCAACAGUCCCCGGCGGGCACCUUCUGGUAACCUGGCGGCAAACCCGCCACGUUAGCUCUGCCCGAGAGAGGAGCUGCUCUCUGGGAAGAGGCUGCAAGCUAAGGCAGCAUUCCUCAGAACCCCAUCUCCACCCGGCUACCCCAGACCCUGAGCCUAGGUCUUCAUCGAAGUGAGUAGGGGGGAUGUGCACCACCUCUGGGCAAAGGUGACCAGGAAAAAGGCGUGUCUUCUCUGUUUUGGCUCAUUUCCCAUCAGGCAGCUGAGUGUAAACAAUUCCCAAACCCCAGGGGAGGGUGAAGCCACAAGAGAGGAAAAAACCUGUGUCAGAAUCGGUUUUAAACUUUACCUGAACAAGAAAUCAUCUUUUAUGUGCUAAGCCAUUAAAAUGUGGAGAUUUUUCUGUUAUCGUAGCUAGCACAACCCUUAUACAGUUGCUGAAAGCAGAUUUCAAGCAGACAUAAACAUAUAAACACAGCGUUUGUCACAGUACCUGGCUCAUGAGAGGCACUCCAUGAAUGUGUAUUGGGCGAAUGCAUAAUGGUAUCCGCUGUCAGAGGAAGUUAGGGAAUGCUCAUAAAGAACUCUUGGGUGGUGGAAGGUGUUUUAAUGCUUACUGAGCCCUGGUUCUCCAGCUGCACGUGGGAGUAAGGGAAAUGAGUUGUAGUUGGCACAGAAAAAGAGAGCCACAGCCACGGAAUGGAUUUCAGAGUCAAAUGAGGUCAUUUCCAUGCGUGGAGAGCUCAGCCUAAGGAGCUUUUCUUAUUAGGAGAAUGGAGGGUUUCUUGGCUGGCUCACGGGUGUAAUGCGGAGCCCCCUGCAGACAGAGCGUUGCAGCCUGGAAUUGCUGCUUCCUGGAACCUCAGAGCCGGACGUGGCAGAGGAUCUGAGCAAGCCUGCAUUUCAUAGCGUUCCCAGGCCUUCAGAAUGAAGACACUGAACACCAUGGAAAACGGGGAACCAGAAUGAAGCAGAGGAUGCCAGGAAGUUCUUAGACCAGAUUCUCAGGACACACAGCCUGAGAAACCAAACCCUUGUUGGAGAAUAAAUCAUAUGAAUUGGUAUUUGGCACCAUGGAGUCACUCCAAAGGAAUGGAGAAUGCGGCCCUUAUUCACGACUCAGGAAUGCUGUAAUGAGAGUAAAUCGAUUCCUCAGCAAUGUCCGAAAUUGUACAAGGAGAACAUUUUCCCGCUGGUGUUACCAUCGCCCUCUCUAUUGUACAAAUUUAAAAUGAAAAUACCUGUGGAGGAACUGGACAGGAAGGGGGCAGGAGACAGCCGUUUAAGGAAUAACACAGCAAUUAGCACCAAGAUGGCAGAAAAGUCAACUCCCAAUUGGCCCAGAGGCCCAAGAUGGCAAGACAGUUGACCUCCAGUGGACUUUAAGCUUCAUUAUACACAUUGUAAUGUGCUAGCGUGGUGAGUGACACACCCACAGGUGCCAUGCCAGUUCCCAAGCUAACCAUGGAAGGUCAAAGAGAGGGUGGUGGCCCAGUUCCUAGGAAUCCCCGCCCCUUCCCCAAAGAAGAUGGAAUAAUCCUCUCACUUGUUGCCAUACAAAAACUAGCAACACCACACCUCAAGGUCUCUCUCUCCCUCUCGCCUUCCUAGACAGCCCACACUCUAUGUCUAUGGAAUGUGUAUCUACUUUUACUUGAACACCACCCCACCCCACCCCACCCCCUUGUACA